GUGGGGAAUAUUGCACAAUGGGCGAAAGCCUGAUGCAGCGACGCCGCGUGAGGGAUGAAGGCCUUCGGGUUGUAAACCUCUUUCAGUAGGGAAGAAGCGCAAGUGACGGUACCUACAGAAGAAGCACCGGCUAACUACGUGCCAGCAGCCGCGGUAAUACGUAGGGUGCGAGCGUUGUCCGGAAUUAUUGGGCGUAAAGAGCUUGUAGGCGGUUUGUCGCGUCUGCCGUGAAAAUCCGGGGCUCAACUCCGGACUUGCGGUGGGUACGGGCAGACUAGAGUGUGGUAGGGGAGACUGGAAUUCCUGGUGUAGCGGUGAAAUGCGCAGAUAUCAGGAGGAACACCGAUGGCGAAGGCAGGUCUCUGGGCCACUACUGACGCUGAGAAGCGAAAGCGUGGGGAGCGAACAGGAUUAGAUACCCUAGUAGUCC
rnacentral:rRNA from 1 species